GGAGUCCGAAAGGGCAGAAUCACUUAUAGAAUGGUCAUCAGCCAACAUUACCAUUCUCACUGACAAUCUGAACACUAUACCCUGCCUUUGUAAAGACUUGAAAGGGAUGCAAGACUUCAGUGAAAUAUGCUCCGGUCUUUGAACUGUCUUCAUAAAAAGGACCAUAAUAAUCGCUGCAAACUAGUAGAACUUUUUUUUCGGUAGACAUGUUUUGAGGAUUUAAUGUGUUAAA